rnacentral:rRNA from 1 species
CACGUAGGGCGCGAGCGUUGUCCGGAAUUAUUGGGCGUAAAGAGCUCGUAGGCGGCCUGUUGCGUCCGCUGUGAAAGCCCGGGGCUUAACCCCGGGUCUGCAGUGGAUACGGGCAGGCUAGAGGUAGGUAGGGGAGAAUGGAAUUCCGGGUGUAGCGGUGGAAUGCGUAGAGAUCCGGAAGAACACCGGUGGCGAAGGCGGCCUGCUGGGCAGUAGCUGACGCUGAUGCGCGACAGCGUGGGGAGCAAAAAGG